AAGUUUUUAUCCAUUUGAGAGCAUUUUAUCUUAGAUUAAGCACUUACCAAUAGUCCGAUUCCUAGAGGGGUUAUGAUAUAAGCUUACGGUGUGACUCGCGAUACGUCGCCAGGCGGCUGAAUCAUGACCUUCCCGAAGCAUGUGCGCUAAAUGUGCACGUUUUGUAUCGUACCUCAAUAUCAGUACAGAUGCUUUGUCUGUGCAUAGGAUGUUCGUUUUAUUGGAAUCCGACGGCACCUGAAAGGUUAAUGCGCGAAUGCCUUAUUUUGCAGGUAGCGGAAUGGAACAUAGGAACAACUUAAGCGGCAUCCGUUAGCUGGCGGAAGUAGUCACUCUGGGCUGGAGCUGUAAACGAGAUAAACCGCAAUCAUCGGCAUAGCUGAACAUGAACACGACUUCAGACCGAGCUCUGCUUGUGUUGCAUGGAAUCAACCUUUUGGGACGGGGACGAGCACGU
rnacentral:lncRNA from 1 species